ACGAACGCUGGCGGCGUGCUUAACACAUGCAAGUCGCACGGGCCCGCAAGGGUCAGUGGCGAACGGGUGCGUAACACGUGAGGAACCUGUCCAACGGUGGGGGAUAGCCGGUCCAACGACCGGGUAAUACCGCGUACGACCUUCGAGGGGCAUCCCUUGAUGGUGAAAGCAGCAAUGCACCGGUGGAGGGCCUCGCGGCCUAUCAGCUAGUUGGUGAGGUAAUGGCUCACCAAGGCGACGACGGGUAGCUGGUCCGAGAGGAUGACCAGCCACAUUGGGACUGAGACACGGCCCAGACUCCUACGGGAGGCAGCAGUGGGGAAUAUUGCGCAAUGGGCGAAAGCCUGACGCAGCGACGCCGCGUGUGGGAUGACGGCCUUCGGGUUGUAAACCACUGUCGGGAGGGACGAAACCAAUGACGGUACCUCCAAAGGAAGCACCGGCUAACUCUGU
rnacentral:rRNA from 1 species